CGUAGUUAGCCGAGACUUGUUCAAGAGGUACCGUCCUUCCUCUUCCCUCUUAAAAGGACUUUACAACCCUAGGGCCUUCAUCGUCCACGCGGCGUUGCUGCAUCCAACUUUCGUCGAUUAUGCAAUAUUCCUC
rnacentral:rRNA from 1 species